GACGAACGCUGGCGGCGUGCUUAACACAUGCAAGUCGAACGAAGUGGCGAACGGGUGAGUAACGCGUAAUCAACCUGCCCUUCAGAGGGGGACAACAGUUGGAAACGACUGCUAAUACCGCAUACUGAAGGGGGGGAUGGCGUCUGAUUAGCUAGUUGGAGGGGUAAGGGCCCACCAAGGCGAUGAUCAGAAGCCGGUCUGAGAGGAUGAACGGCCACAUUGGGACUGGGACACGGCCCAGACUCCUACGGGAGGCAGCAGUGGGGAAUCUUCGGCAAUGGACGGAAGUCUGACCGAGCAACGCCGCGUGAGUGAAGAAGGUUUUCGGAUCGUAAAGCUCUGUUGUAAGAGAAGCGAUAUCUUACCAGAAAGGGACGGCUAACUACGUGCCAGCAGCCGCGGUAAUAC
rnacentral:rRNA from 1 species